rnacentral:lncRNA from 1 species
AAUUGGCUUGCAUUGCACCUUCCUACCCAAGCAGCUUGGUUUUCUUUCGCUUUGACCCUGUAAUUUCUUUCCCACUUCGUUGUCGUCUCUGAAUUACCUUUCUCUUGAUUCUUGCCCAUUAGCAUCCUCCAAUUUCAGAUGUUUGUAGAUCCCCAAGUGUUCCCAGGGAAAACUACUAGAAAAGGAGAAAACUGAAUGGGCUACCUUUGAAGUCCAGGGCACCCUCCUCUAUCUUGUUCACUUCCUCAUCAGGCACUAUCUAUGGACUGAGAAGAGAAGGACUUUAAAACAGUGGUAAAGAAAGCAACAAAGACAAUGACUGGCAAGACAGAAGAAUUGUGCAGAGAAAGAGGUAGAUAGAAAUGGAAGUCUGUUGUUCCCCUCUAUGUGUCUAUGUGUUUUCAUCAUUUUGCUC